GACAGAGGGUGCAAACGUUGCUCGGAAUCACUGGGCUUAAAGGGCGCGUAGGCGGCUUGUCAAGUCAGGGGUGAAAUACUUCAGCUUAACUGGAGAAGUGCCCUUGAUACUGACAGGCUCGAGGGAGGUAGGGGUCUGUGGAACUUCUGGUGGAGCGGUGAAAUGCGUUGAUAUCAGAAGGAACGCCGGUGGCGAAAGCGACGGACUGGAUCUCUUCUGACGCUGAGGCGCGAAAGCUAGGGGAGCAAACAGG
rnacentral:rRNA from 1 species